CCGCUCACCAGCGCGCGGUCCCCGCCCCGUGGUGCUGACCUGCCCUCUGCGAGCCAGAGAAAUAGGACUGGUUUGGGGGUGUCCCGUCCAAGUGGACACGGGAGAUCACGGUUUUCAGUACCACA